GUUAACCCAAUUUAUUUUUAGGUAUAAAAUCACUCGUCGUGUAGGUUAAGGCGGCGGCUUUUCAGUUAGAUUAGGGCAUCGCCGCAACGAUCUAUGAUAAUCGUGUGUGUAUGUAUCUAUUUGAGUGUAAAGUGCUGAAUCGUUUCGUGAUGCUAUCUGUUUCGAAGUCCAAAAACAGUAAACAAUGAAGAAGAUGCUCCAGAAAAACAAAACAAUGAUCUGCCUGAUUGGGUUGGCAAGGGAAAACAGUAGUUCUACCAAACCCGCCUCAAAGUGGACAACGAGAAAUGCCAACAUUUUCGUUGCGGAAUUCCCACUUUGCUUGAUAUUUUGGUCAUGCAGCUGAUAUGAGGCAAAUGAACCCAAAGGCUGGCAACCCAUUUAAUGAAAUUGCACCAAUUAAAUGGGAGAUAAUUUGUGACCACUGCGAGGGAUUCCUUGUGACUCGGCCAACUGUGUGCGAGAGAACAUCAGAAGAGCACACAAUUGCUGAAGUUAUUUGGAAUGGUGCAUGCUGGAGAUUCUAACUUGUUGGCAUGUCUGACAUUGGACAUUGCAUUGGGUGUCGGCCUUCCUAGAGGAAAUAUUGUUGAGGUAGGUUUUCGUACACACUUUGAGGUAUUGUAAAACAAACUCAGUACAAUCUUUUUUCACGUGAAGAUUAUCUCUUGUUUAAUAUCCGGGAUACGUAUGGCUCAGAGAUGGUGAAGUAAACAAUGAAGAUGAUGCUCCAAAAAGAUGGAAAACAGUUAUCUAAGGCUGGCUAAUCUGCUACUUAUCUGCUAUUAAGAAGCUACUGCUUGUCUACUUGGUUAUUUCGUUGAAGAUAAAACAACGCGACAUAUCGGGAACUUUUGAAAUUGCAAGAACUAAGUUAAAAGCUGGCAACGUAGAUGAUUUUUUCCAAGUAGUUUAACCUACCAAUGUAUUCCUUACCAUAUUGUCUUAUUCUUAUUUCUAUGUAACAUCAAUGCUCAAAAGACUUAAAAUCUAAGUUACUCAAGUAGUUUUUAUAUUUGUCUGUUUAUUUAUUUACCUAUAUAAUGUAUAUAAUACGUUUGUGUGA